rnacentral:lncRNA from 1 species
AGUUCUUUGUCCAACUUAGCUUCAACUUUAACAAACACAAGAGUACUUGUAGAGAGAAAUUCUCCUCCAACGCAUACUCUUCUGAUGAUUACCAGCAGGUCCACUGGCAGCAGCUGGAUUGAGUGUCUGAGUCAGCCUGGCUGAUUACCUUAAUCACCUUAAUCACAGAAUCUACCCUCCCUGGAAUGGCCUUAACAUGGAGAGUGGCAGAAUGGCAGAACUACCACUUUAAGCUGAAAACUCCUCGUUAGAACGUGUUCUGAUGCCUUUAAUGAAGAGCUUGUGAUUUGUAGGAGGGACAAGAUAAUUUCAAGGCUUUGUCAAUUCUUUGCUAGUUCUUUUCUUAGUAAAGAGUUUUCCAAGAACAUCUUCGUUAGAAUACAUGGCACAUCUUGAGAGGUGCUGCUGACGUCUAAGGGAAGCUGUUGAUUUGAGGAAUUUGAAGGUUUCUGGAAGAAGGAUUUGGAAAAUUUGAAGUGAACCUCUUUUGGGAAUUAAAAGUGCUAGGUCCCUUCUCAUGGGAUCGAAUAGCAGAGUCCUGGCUACGGGUUCAAAUGCCCUGCUGAAAUCCUCAGACAAUUCCAACAUCCACAAAGCUACGAAAGGAGGGCAGAGAAAUUUGCUCUCCUGAAUGAAUAUUCUUGGACUCCUUUGUGAAGGUGCACAGAAACCCAGACUCUGUUUUGUGCUUUGAGAGACAGUGAGGUGAGCAUUUCAACAGAAAGGUGAGCAUUUUAACUUAGACCUGUAGAUACAGGUACAUUCAAAAAUUAAAAUUAUUUCUCUGGAACUAUUAAUAAGAAAUAAGAUUACUUCAUUCAUUAUUGUGCAGAGGCCUAGUUCUAAAAUAAUUUAAUGAUUUUCUUUCUGAGAAUCACUUUUCUAUUGAUCCUUUACAUAAGCAAAUAUGUAUAUGUUGCCUCAGGGAAAAUCAGG